GAAUAUUAGUCAAUGCUCGAAAGAGUGAACUAGCUAACUGAAAUCAAUUUAAAAUUGAUAACAUAAGGGAAAAUAAUGAUAUUACCUUAUUAUUAGUGUCGUCCAAAACUGGUGCCAGAAGACUCGGUAAGGCCAGAGACACAAACGUUAAUCGUCUUAAUCAGGCGUAAAGGGUUUGUAGGCGGCUUUUAAUUUACUUAUAAAUAUUUUUUAAAGAUAAAAUAAGUUAAGAAUAAAAGCUAGAAUCAAAUAGAGGAUAUAUCAAAUAAUGCUUAGAGUAGGUCUGAUAUCCAUAGAUACUAAGUAGAAUAUUAAAGGCGAAAGCUUUUUUCCAUAAAUGAUUGACGCUCAGAAACGAAGGUGAGGAUAGGAAAUAGGAUUAGAUACCCAAAAUACCCCUCUCUGUCAACGAUGAAUGGUAAUUAUUAAUAAUAAAUUUAUUAUUAAUGAUAAUGUUAACACGAUAACCAUUCCGCCUUGUGAGUACAACUGCAAAGUUGAAAACAAAAAAAUUAGUCGGUUUCGGAGCAAACGAAGUGAAGCAUGUUAUUUAAUUC
rnacentral:rRNA from 1 species